GAUGAACGCUGGCGGCGUGCCUAAUACAUGCAAGUCGAGCGAACAGACGAGGAGCUUGCUCCUCUGACGUUAUCGGCGGACGGGUGAGUAACACGUGGAUAACCUACCUAUAAGACUGGGAUAACUUCGGGAAACCGGAGCUAAUACCGGAUAAUAUAUUGAACCGCAUGGUUCAAUAGUGAAAGACGGUUUUGCUGACACUUAUAGAUGGAUCCGCGCCGCAUUAUCCAGUUGGUAAGGUAACGGCUUACCAAGGCAACGAUAAGUGGCCGACCGGGAAGAGUGACGGGCAACACUGGAACGGAGCAACGGUCCAGACCCUAACGGAGGGAAGAAGUAGGGAAUCUUCGGAAAUGAGCGAAAGCCUGACGGAGCAACGCCGCGUGAGUGAUGAAGGUCUUCGGAUGGUAAGACUCUGUUAUUAGGGAAGAAGAAAUGUGUAAGUAACUAUGCACGUCUUGACGGUACCUAAUCAGAAAGCCACGGCUAACUACGUG
rnacentral:rRNA from 1 species